UACGGGGGGGGCAAGCGUUGUUCGGAAUUACUGGGCGUAAAGGGCUCGUAGGUGGCCAACUAAGUCAGACGUGAAAUCCCUCGGCUUAACCGGGGAACUGCGUCUGAUACUGGAUGGCUUGAGUUCGGGAGAGGGAUGCAGAAUUCCAGGUGUAGCGGUGAAAUGCGUAGAUAUCUGGAGGAAUACCGGUGGCGAAGGCGGCAUCCUGGACCGAUAUUGACACUGAGGAGCGAAAGCCAGGGGAGCAAACGGG
rnacentral:rRNA from 1 species